GAUGAACGCUGGCGGUAUGCUUAACACAUGCAAGUCGAACGGACUCUUCGGAGUUAGUGGCGGACGGGUGAGUAACGCGUGAGAAUCUGGCUUUGGGUUUGGGACAACCACUGGAAACGGUGGCUAAUACCGGAUGUGCCGAGAGGUAAAAGAGAAAUUGCCUGAAGAUGAGCUCGCGUCUGAUUAGCUAGUUGGUGAGGUAAAGGCUCACCAAGGCAGCGAUCAGUAGCUGGUCUGAGAGGAUGACCAGCCACACUGGGAAUGCGACACGGCCCAGACGCCUACGGGAGGCAGCAGUGGAGAAUUUUCCGCAAUGGGCGAAAGCCUGACGGAGCAAUACCGCGUGAGGGAAGAAGGCUCUUGGGUUGUAAACCUCUUUUCUUAGGGAAGAACAAAAUGACGGUACCUAAGGAAACAGCAACGGCUAACUCCGUG
rnacentral:rRNA from 1 species